rnacentral:sRNA from 1 species
AUCAACUUUAGAGGGUAGGAUAGAGGCUCCAUGGUGGUAACGGGUACGGGGUGUUAGCGCGGACCCGGAGAGGGAGCGUGAGAAACGUUCCACAUCCAAGGAUGGCAGCAGGCGCGCAAAUUACCCAAUCCGGACACGGAGAGGUAGUGACAAUAAAUAACAAUACGGGGUUCUUUCGGAUCUCGUAAUUGGAAUGAGUACAAUUUAAAUCUCUUAACGAGGACACAAUUGGAGGGCAAGUCUGGUGCCAGCAGCCGCGGUAAUUCCAGCUCCAAUAGCGUAUAUUAAAGUUGUUGCAGUUAAAAAGUUGGUAGUUGAAUUUGGGGACCAUCAUGUCGGUCGUGCCUCGGUACGUACUGGCAUUAUUGGUUUCUACCUUCUGACGAACCAUGAUGUCAUUAAUUUGGUGUUGCGGGGAAUCAGGACUGUUACUUUGAAAAAAUUAGAGUGUUUAAAGCAGGCUCACGCUUGAAUACAUUAGCAUGGAAUAAUGAAAUAGGACGUUUGAUUCUAUUUUGUUGGUUUCUAGGAUCGACGUAAUGAUUAAUAGGGAUAGUUGGGGGCAUUAGUAUUCAAUUGUCAGAGGUGAAAUUCUUGGAUUUAUUGAAGACUAACUACUGCGAAAGCAUUUGCCAAGGAUGUUUUCAUUAAUCAAGAACGAAAGUUAGGGGAUCGAAGACGAUCAGAUACCGUCGUAGUCUUAACCAUAAACUAUGCCGACUAGGGAUCGGAUGAUGUUAAUUUUUUAAUGACUCAUUCGGCGCCUUACGGGAAACCAAAGUGUUUGGGUUC